UACAGAGGUCCCAAGCGUUGUUCGGAUUCACUGGGCGUAAAGGGUGCGUAGGUGGCAGGGUAAGUUUGAUGUGAAAUCUCCGAGCUUAACUCGGAAACUGCAUUGAAUACUAUCCUGCUCGAGGAUUGGAGGGGGGACUGGAAUUCUCGGUGUAGCAGUGAAAUGCGUAGAUAUCGAGAGGAACACCAGCGGCGAAGGCGAGUCCCUGGACAAUACCUGACACUGAGGCACGAAAGCUAGGGGAGCAAACAGG
rnacentral:rRNA from 1 species